CGUAGGGUGCAAGCGUUAAUCGGAAUUACUGGGCGUAAAGCGUGCGCAGGCGGUUUUGUAAGUCUGUCGUGAAAGCCCCGGGCUCAACCUGGGAAUUGCGAUGGAGACUGCAAGGCUUGAAUCUGGCAGAGGGGGGUAGAAUUCCACGUGUAGCAGUGAAAUGCGUAGAGAUGUGGAGGAACACCGAUGGCGAAGGCAGCCCCCUGGGUCAAGAUUGACGCUCAUGCACGAAAGCGUGGGGAGCAAACAGGAUUAGAUACCCUGGUAGCCCACGCCCUAAACGAUGUCUACUAGUUGUCGGGUUUUAAUUAACUUGGUAACACAGCUAACGCGUGAAGUAGACCGCCUGGGGAGUACGGUCGCAAGAUUA
rnacentral:rRNA from 1 species